CACUCGUGUACGUAAUUUAGCUUGUUCUUCAGAUUCGCUUCUGGCCUGAGAUCUCAAAUGAGGAGCAACAUACUUGACGCUGCUCUCAGGAUUAGGUUUCUGCAGAGGAGAUUCUACUUUCUCGUCGUACUCAACAGUCUCUGACUCACCAUCAUCUGUGAUCUCCAUCGGAUGAGUUUCUACCUCUUCAUCCAAAGACUUCUUCUUCUUACGGUGUUUACGGUCUCUUUUUCUUUUAGGCUCUUCAUCACUAUCCUCAUCAGAAAAAUCAGAUUCUCCAAGCUCAAAAUCUUCCUCAUAGUCCUGUUUCUCCUCGGAUCUCUUUCUCUUACCCUUCUUCUUACGAGAAUCACCAAGCUCAGAUUCCAUAGAAUCCAAUACAGAUGGAAGCCCUUCGAACAAAUCAUUCAUACCAUCAUCCACGCCUCUUAGUUUCCCGUUCUUUACCUUGAGCUUCUUUGCUAGCUUCCUCUCUAGCUCAGCAUCUUGCUCACGAGAUAGUGAAGCGCUUUGUGUCUCCAUCUCAAGAUACUCCUCGAACUUCGUCUUCUUCCUUGGUUUGUUUAGAUCUUUCGUUUUGUGUCCUCUUUGCAUCUUCUUCUCCUUUGGUUUGACUCUAUGCUCGCUUUUCUUUUGUGUAAAAGACUUUUUAUCAACCUUGUUUCCACCAGGACUAACUGAUUUCACAUGUUGAGCUUCUUUAUAAGUUUCAGACUUGAUCACGUCAUCAGUCUUUGUCUGAACUGAUGAUGAUGCUGAUACUCGCUUCUCCUUUUGCAACUUCUGAAAACCAGAAAAAUCAACAAAUCAUGAAUUGGUAACUAAACUGUAGAUAGCAAAACAAAGAUUCACACAUACCUGACGCUGAAGCCAAGAUUCAUGCUUCUUCUGGCUCUUCUGCAAGCGAGCUUCUUUACGCUUUUCAUGACGUGAGCUCCCUGCUGAUCAUCAAAAAAAAAAACAAGCAAACGAGAUUCUUUAAGAACAUAGCUCGAGCAGAAAAAAAUACUAAGAUCAUUACUAAAGAGAAUAUAUCAGCUUACCCGUUGUAUCUGGUCCAGCCAUAGAUUCUACAAACAACAACAGAAGAAAAAUUAGAACUUUCGCUUUCUGAAUACGAACACGACAGAAGCACAGAAGUAACAGAACACGACAUUACUGAAUAAGCUUCAAGCAUCUAUAACAAUGAAGAUUCUAGCAAGACCCUAGUUUUACUAAGCCCUUUGGAACCUUAAAGACUCGCGAUUCCGACAGAAGGAUCAAACUACGUCUAAGACAUUAAAAGCAGAACGUAUGAUUGCACAAGAUGGAUCAAUACUUUGAGCAGUGUAAGGUGGACUCUCAAAUUCAAUCUUCUCCGCACUCGCUUGCUCUAACAAAAUUAAAAACUUGAAGGAUCGAUUUUUUUCCGACCCAGUCGAUGAACGCAGGAAUUGAAAAUUGUAUAGAUUAGGGUUUUUGUCGAAUUUUUAAAAUCUUAACGAAACAAAGCCUGCGAAGUUGUUGGGCCUAAAAUCCUCUGAUUAGGCCUGGGCAAGGGCACAAGGCACGUAACAAAAUAAAUAUUGGCUUACAAUUGUACUUGUUUGGCAAGUAAUUGGUUAACCAAGCACUUGCCUAGAAUUUAAAGACUUGCAAAGCUGGACUCAAAAUAAAUAGAGAUUAGCGAAGGUGAAGAAGGAGAGUGAAUAUCAACUUGACUGUUUAUGAUUAAACAAAACACAGAGUUUUACGGCUCCAUUAAUAUAAACAUCAAAUUUUCACUGAACUAAAUUUAAGAGUGUUAGUUCACACCCUGGUCAGAUAGAGAUAUUGGACUGGUCUGGUGUUGUAGUUAGACAGAUUCUUAUAAAGCAGAUAGUAUUAUCAGUUGUCCAAUUGUGUAUGUAAUAUUUAACUGUAGUUUCUAAAUAAAUUAGCGUUAAAAAUUAAUUAGUAUUGGCCUAAUAGUUCAGUUUUGUUGAAAUUAAAAUACACAAUUCUUUGAGUUUUGAUGGAAAUGCAAUUCAUCAAAUUUUAACUUGCUAAUUAAUGUAAUAGAUACCAAGUAACAUAGUCAGUAGUUGAAAGAUAAAAUUAUCUAAAUACUUGUAUUUGUGAGUAAUAAAAGCCGAUUACUUGUUACUCGACUUAGUCGAUCAUAGCAAAUACUUGCUUCGAAUCCGAGGUAAAUAGCAAGUACAAGCCGGAUGAUAAGUAUAGUGUCCAUGCCUACCUCUGAUAGCUUCAGCAAGUUGUGAUGAAUCUUUUAUAUUAAAAUCCAUUUAACGCAUUCUCAUCCAUAAAAAAGUGUUUGGUCAUUCUUGGGAUGCGAAGUGAAUCAUACAUUAACAUUAAGAAGAUAAACAUAAUGUAAGAAGGAAAACACUUGACACAGUGCAUAGACUUUCAUUUCUGUAAUGUGUUCAGAUACUGUUUUGAUAGAAUCUUAAGUAUAACCUUUAAUUUUUUCUAACUACAAACUUAACUUGAUAGACAUUAAGCGUACCAAAUAGUGCAUCAGAAUUCUUCCUUCUCCGGAUAUAGAGAUAAGUAAGAAAAGACUUUAACUAUCAUAACAAAGACAUUUUCUUUGAGAAGAGAAUCUUUGGAAGAUCGCUUACCGUGAACUUAUUUAUAUCAGUCUUGCAAUCAGGGGAGGUUUUAAUUUCAUUCGUCUUGUUCUGGAUGCUUACGAUGAAGGUUUUCAUAGCCACAGGAUCAUCACUUCUUAUCUUCAUUCCACAGCCUAUUCAACACAUAAACAAGAACUUAGUAAUGUGACAUAAGAAGUUAAAACAACUACGAUGACUAAGCAAGGAUAGUAAUAAAACUUACUAUCUAAAACAAUUAGAAUAGUGCAGGCAUCAACUUCAGUCAGCCGGUUCGCCAAUGUCAUUAAGAAAUCAUAAAUAAGAUCACUGCAAAACAAAUAUACAACUUCACAUUCAGUCCCACAAAAAAAUCAUAAAUAAAGUAAACAGCAUAUAUGUAGCUGCAGAAAACUUUACCUGGAGCAGACUCCCAAUAAGCAGAGAUAAGAAAGUAAAAGAGUGAUUCCAUUCAAAGAGAGACUAUCUUCCUUUUGGUAUUCAUCCUGAAAACAGAUAAGAUGAUACGUAACUACUGCAGUAUUUCAAACAAGAUGGUGAGGAGGAAACAUACUAUGCAGAGAGACUUAGGGACAUACCUCGAAAGAUUUAGCAAGUGAAGCAAUAAGCUGAGCACUGAAAUCCAUUCCAACUUGACAAGCCAUGCCAGCUAUAAAAGCAGCAAAUACACCGUACCUUCAACAAGGAAGACGAAUUAUUCAGCCAUCAAUCGUUUUAUUAAUCAUUAAACUAUAGAGAGGUGUAGAGAUAUUAACUGUUCAUUGCCUCUAGCAUAAGUUGCCAAAACCUCUUCACAGAAAAUCUGAGAGGACACACUUCUCGCAACACUCUGCAUUAGCAAAUAUUUACCAUGUAAGAACAGUAACAGAAUAGAAACUGAAGCAAUUUUGAACUGUGUAACGGUAUUUAAGCUUACGCGAUAGAGUGUGGAAAGUUCUGCGGUUAUUGACUCCACAUUGGAUUCAGCCAUCUUAUUUAAAAGACCUGUAACACAUACCAAGCAUGUCAAACUAAGGUUACAGAACUAUAAACACCACAAGGUUAAACAGCCUUUUUGCUAGCCAUACCUUUCACUCGUGUACGUAAUUUAGCUUGUUCUUCAGAUUCGCUUCUGGCCUGAGAUCUCAAAUGAGGAGCAACAUACUUGACGCUGCUCUCAGGAUUAGGUUUCUGCAGAGGAGAUUCUACUUUCUCGUCGUACUCAACAGUCUCUGACUCACCAUCAUCUGUGAUCUCCAUCGGAUGAGUUUCUACCUCUUCAUCCAAAGACUUCUUCUUCUUACGGUGUUUA
rnacentral:lncRNA from 1 species